rnacentral:rRNA from 1 species
AACUGGCGGCGUGGAUAGGCAUGCAGUCGAACGAGAAAGGUCCCUUCGGGGGCUGAGUAGAGUGGCGAACGGGACAGUAACACGUGGGAAACCUGCCCUGCAGUGGGGGAUAACACUUCCAACGAGGUGCUAAUACCGCAUACGACCGCCGGUCGCAUGGCCGGCUGGUGAAAGGUGGCCUCUGCUUGCAAGCUGCCGCUGCUGGGUGGUCCCGCGCCCGAUUAGCUUGUUGGCGGGGUAACGGCCCACCAAGGCUACGAUCGGUAGGCGACCUGAGAGGGUGACCGCCGUCACUGGGACUGAGAUACGGCCCAGACUCCUACGGGAGGCAGCAGUCGAGAAGCUUCGGCAAUGGGCGAAACCCUGACGCAGCAACGCCGCGUGAGUGAGGAAGGUUUUCGGAUCGUAAAGCUCUGUCGGGUGGGAAGAAAUGUAUGGAGGUUAAUAGCCUCUGUACUUGACGGUACCGCCAAAGGAAGCACCGGCUAACUCCGUGCCA